AGCAGUUUGUGAGAAUGCUGCCUAAUAGGCUUCUGACAGAGCCAGCUGGAUUUCAUGCUUAGACAAAUACUAAUUCUCACCUAACAUGGACAACAUGGGGAAUUUUCAGAGAGACACCUUGCAGUCAGUGAUACUCACAGAGUGGCACUCUUUGAAACUGACACAUACUUCAUCUGCUUGUGAAAUGUUGCAACCAAGGAUACCUCCUGUAAAAUUUUAUUUGUAGCCCCACUGGAUCCUUUAAUAAAGGAUGCUUCUGAAUCUUAUUGCUUGUUUCAUUUUCUUCAGAUCAGAAACUAAAGCACUUCCAAUGGAAACAAAAUCCCGCUGGUCUGUGCAAAUCCUACCUGGCUGUC
rnacentral:lncRNA from 1 species